UUGUCAUUCUCAGAAUUCUAGCGCUCUAAACUCCUUUUUCUGAUUGCUUACAAUGUUUUUUUUGUCACAGAGACGGAAUACGUGAACACAUUUCACAAGUAUCUGUUGUCAAGAACAGAAAAGAAAAUUGCGGUGUUCGGUGAGAGUGCAACCUUCUGCCUUGCAAAAAGCGCAAUGAAGACUCUUAAAGAUCUUGGGGUUUUUAAGGAAGUGCAGAGAAACAACAAAGCAGUUUUGGAACUAAGCAACACCUUUCUACCUCUGAUCAACCGUCAGAAACUGCUGGAAUACAUCCUUCAUUUCAACAUCUUGUAGAAAAAACUCGGGGAAAUCUCGCCGUGAACGGUGAUGUACCGAAGCAGAUGGCGUAAACCAUUUGAUUUGAAUUGUCGAUUAUUCGACCUCUAAGAAAAGAAGUGAAUAUUUUAAGUAGUACAUCCUCGUAAUAUGGAUAUUGUUUCAACACUGUUUUUACUGGCAGACUAAUGGCUCAAUAGCUUGGCUGAGUUCUCGUCUCCCCUGCCCUCCCCACCUCCCCACACCCCAAGCUGAGCUGGUACUGUGUUUAACUCAGUGGAAUCCAUCUGUGUCCGUGUCUUUGGAUUCAGGUGUUGUUGUUGGCUACAUUGGCUCAAGCUCUAUGGCCACCUGUUCAG